rnacentral:misc_RNA from 1 species
UGGCUCUCGCAUCGAUGAAGAACGCAGCGAAAUGCGAUAAGUAAUGUGAAUUGCAGAAUUCAGUGAAUCAUCGAAUCUUUGAACGCACCUUGCGCUCCUUGGUAUUCCGAGGAGCAUGCUUGUUUGAGUGUCAUGGUCUUCUCAACCCCUUUGCGUUUUUAAUCGAACACAACCGGGCUUGGACUUGGAGGCUUUUGCGGGCUUCGGGACCUUUCCGGUCCAGGAGCCGGCUCCUCUGAAAUGCAUUAGCUUGAACAGAACCAAGCAUGAUUCAACGUGAUAAUUGUCUACGUUGCUUCAUCUCGGUGAACUUCAAUGUUCGGGCUUCCAACCGUCCUUCGGGACACCAUCUGAACAUCUGACCUCAAAUCAAGUAGGACUACCCGCUGA